UGGGGGGGAGGCAAAAAGAGAAUACUGAGCCUGGAGCAUCCCUUUUAGCUCAAGGAGCAAAACCAAAUGGGAAUAUCUGGGUUAUUUCCAAACUCCACUAAUGUGGACCUCCCUCGUGAAAGAAACGGAAUGAUGUCAUGUUCAGCAGUGCAGGAGAGGAUCAGAGCAUGCUCCUACCAAUUCAGCAUACCCCAGAGGUUAAAAGGGGAGCUAUUGUAUGAGCAGAAGUACUGUAGAAGGACCAAUGGAAACCGGAGAAAGCGGCUGAGAACGGGAGCGUUGGUUGGGAAGGCAUCCUAGCAGAGCCCCUGGAGAAGAACUGAAGCCGGCUUGUGCGGUCACUUGGAGUACACAGUUAAACCCACAAAAGCUCAUUUGCCAAAAUGACAAGAGGAUGAUGAGGAAUAUUCUACAAGAUCUGAAAAAUGUACAUUUAAUGGGUUGAGUUUCCCAAAGGACUUUCUUCUGCACAGCUAGAACCAUUGGGAGGAAGCUGCUCCAUGCCAAGUUGUCUCCUGAACUCACUGCCACCAAAUGGUGCUCCAGCCACCUUCUGAGCAGAAGGGGAGAGAGAAAUUCUACAACAGUUGCCUACAGCCCUGAAAGGAAGCCAUCAAGAGGGUUAUCUGUAAGGAAGUAUGUUGACUCACAGAGGUCGAGGACAAGCAGCAUCAAUAUCUCCUUCUAAAUAAAGGUUAGGGAUCAGGACUCUUCCCCCUCGCCAGGAGGAGGUUGGAUCUGUGGUGGGCUGGCUGCUGCUCCACCAGGGAAUGAGGUUGGGAUUCGGCAGCAGGACAGGUAGGACCAGGCGUGGGGCUGUCAAAGGAACACACACACACACAGAGUCAAAAAAUAAGCUUGUGCAAUGCAAAUUUGUAUUGCUGAGCUAUUCCCUUACCAGCCUUCCUGCUCAGGUGGAGAGGUAACAUCUUCAGGCUGCUUGUCAAUUAUACUGCAAAUAAGCAUUGUUUAAUUAGUAGCGACAUUUAAAAGCAAUUAAGUUUAAAUGCUAAGUGUAUGCUUUUGUCUUUUCAGUUAAACACAGUUUUGGAGAAAAAAAAUAAUUCCAAAUAUUUAAUUAUAAAAAUUACAAUCUAAUUGUGUAAAUAAGCCUGACACUACUAUAAAAAGAUUCUUAAUCUCUUGUAUAACUGCUUUAACUUCAUGCCUCAGGGUGCAGUAUUGUAUUAAAAUAUGAACACAUCUAGCUUCUUACUGUAACUCUUCUGCCCAGCAGUUGUCUGGGGAGCAGUUGGGGCGUGCGUUUCCUCAUCUGCUUCAGGCAAAAUCACCCAAGGUAGCUCACAGCACCUCUACAGACUAACCCUGGGGAUUUUUCCCUGAAGCACGUUAGGGAGUGAUGGUGCAGAACUUCUCAGCGGGCAGGAAUUUGGUGCUAGUGACUUCAUCUGCUGAUAGUGACCAGCAGCUGGGGGGCAUAGUAUCUCAGGCUGGAUCUGGAAAGGGAGGGCUGCUGCUGUCCUUCCCUCUGGACAGGCCCAGGAGAGAGGAGCAAGCUCUUCCUGCUCCUUCAGGAGCCAGCAAACCUGCUGGCAACAGAUUAGGUCACCUUGACUGAGUCAUCAUUUGUCACACUUGCCAUUUGUGCUUGCUUGGGAGACCUGCAUGCUUGGUCCAAAGUCUGGAUCUCAUCCAUCUGAUCCCAGUACUAAGGAUCUGGCCUUUUUCACCACAUACUGAGGGACUCUUUUGCCACUUUCUAGUCUCAGCGAAAGCUUUCUUGUGGCAUCUUUAUGCUGAACAAUGAACUUGUGGCCCUUCUUUGCCUAAAGGUAGCACCACAAGGAAGGUGUGGGGAGGGUGGCCCCUAGGUUGCAUUAACCACCAUGCUGAUGUGAUGGGAUGCAGCCAAGCCUGGCAAGAUGGAAUAGACCCCAUGCACCCAAGUGCUGCUCAGCCCAGCUGCCCUGUCCUUUCCCAGGCUCUGUCUCAUCUUUGCUGGUCCCACUAUUUCAGGUUCUUUCACCAUUCCUGUUUCACAAUAUCCAAGAACUCCUCUUCAGAGGUAAGUCAAGGCAUGGAUACCUGUUCUUCUCACCACUGCCUAGCAGGGAGAAAUACAGAGUUGGGGAUAGCACCUAUUUAGUUGAAGAGUUUCCAUUCGAGAGCCUGUGCUUGAUACCUGACCUCAGCAUCACCCUGUCUGAAAUAGUUUCUGUAACUUUAGCUUAUUGUUUCCAUUGGCACAUGGUUUUAUUUUAUAUAGAUAUCUUCUGCGAAGCGACACUUAACAUGCUUCACUGGGUCUAAGUAGUGUUCUUGACUCAGGAAUUUCUUUUGUAUUGUAUAAAUCUGAUUUCAGUCUGUUGCCAGGAUCACACACCUCUUUUGAAUAGGAAGAUCUGUGCAGCAUCUGGUGACAGUGUGCAUGUUGAUUUAAAGCUUUCUCCUUCUGAGCAUGCAGAGAUUUUCCUGGAGCAGAUAGAAUUAUUUAACAGCCUCUCUGGCGUCCUUCCCACACCAGCCCCAGCUUUAGAGACGGUCCUUUGACUGCUGUUCCCCAGUCAGACCUUGUUCUCCAGCCUGAGACAGUCCUUGUUCCCGUGACCUACAGAUUUUUUCUCCAUCAGCUCUUUUUCUUGAUCUUCCUGGAGUCCUUGGCAAGGGAUAAUGGAGCUAUGUUGGCUUUAGAAGACGGUCGCGACUACCCUGUCUUCUCCUGGUCCCUCUGCCAUCUGCCAUCCUCAGCUCCAUGGCUUGUCCGUAACAUAAUCCACUUGGCCACUUCUAGCUCUUAAUGUUUCUAUAGCUGUAGUCAAGUGCUCAGACUUAAAUAUUAAUGUGCUAAUUAAUAAUGAAACCCAUAACUGUAGCUGGGUUUAAAAUUUUAAUUCGGUGAGGAGUUAGCAGGGGUGCAGCCCAUAACAAUGAAACCAAUCUAUUAAUAUAUAUAUAUAUUUAAGUAUCUUUGCCUCUAGCAAUAUCAUUGCACGAGGAAAGCAUCCUGUGUAUGGAUGUCUGUGAAGAUGUUUGCUUGUGACACUUGGAACAGGAAGUCAUAAAGUACUAGGUAUGAUGUGGGUUUGGUUUUUUUUUUUUUCCAAAGGCGUUUUUAAAAGUCAUGUUAAAAAAGGUUUUCAUUCCGAGGCUUAAAAAAUGGAGGAGGGGAAAGGAAAAUUCCUGGAAAGAACUAUAUUUAUUUUCCACUUCAGACAGGCCAGUCUGCUAAUGCAGCAUUUGUUGCAGGCUUAAAGUAGCCGAAGGUAUUGCAUCCAAUGACGUUUAUGAAGUCACAGUGAGCCAGUGAUAACAAAAGCAGUGCCGUUACGAUGCUCCCAACCAAACAAAUCUGGGAUGCUCUGCGUGGGAAAUGUUAGAUCCAUGGGUGAGAUGAAGAAUUCCUGCCUGUCCCUCCGCGAGGGAUGGCUUUCCAGCGCCACAGAAAGAAACUUUCUUUGGCUUGGGCAGGAGUGGGUGGAAGCCAGAGGGAUUGGGAUGUAACCGAUGUGUGUUUCUCAACAAGCUCCCCUCUUUCCCAACAGCCCAUCCCACCCUGCCUGGUGGUGAACUCCUUCCCGUGCCACCCAGAGGAGGAGAGCUGAGGGACGGAGCUGUCACGUAGGAGCCCACUUCCUCCACCAUGAACUUCUGUGGUGGGAACCUUGUACUUCUUCUCACUGCCCCUUUCCCACUUUAGCUCCAGACCUGCAUCUAUGGUAUGGAGUGGUGUGUGUAGGAGACCAUC